AAGGGCACCACAAGAACGCGUGGAGCAUGUGGCUUAAUUUGACUCAACGCGGGAAAUCUUACCGGGUCCGGACACACUGAGGAUUGACAGGCAAUCAUGUGAAUCGUUUUUAUCUUUUAAAACAUUCGCAUAUAAAUAUGCUAGUCCUUUCAUGAUUAUGUGAUAGGUGGUGCAUGGCCGUUCUUAGUUCGUGGAGUGAUCUGUCUGCUUAAUUGCGUUUCAUACUGGACUUAGAAAUCAAGUGUGUUUAUUUUUCUUGUGCGGUUAUGUUUCAAUGCAUUUUGUUACCCCAUUUUUUUGGGUGAGUUUCAAUUUGUGUUUUACAUUCCGUGCUUUAUUGAUAAAUAAAUACACAUCUAGUCCUGAAAGCAACGAACGUGACCGCAUCCUCUUGUUGCCUUUUAACUUAAAACAUUUUUUUAUUUUUUUACUUUAAUUUCUUGUUUUAUAAUAUAAGAGGCUUUCUUAAAACUAGAGGGACCGCUGCGACUUUUUUAAACCAGAGGAAGGUUGCGGCAAUAACAGGUCUGUGAUGCCCUUAGAUGUUCCGGGCUGCACACGUGCUACAAUGAUUAUUGCAGUGAGCAUCUCAUUUACAGCACUGUUUUCAUUUUUUUUUAAAAUGAGCAGUCAAAGCCUGCUUCGAAAGUUCGCAGGUAAUCAAUUGGAAGUAAUGAUUUCCCUUAACUCAAAUUUAUUUUUGAUUUUGUGAGCACACAAUAUGCUGCUCCCCUCCCUGGCAUUUAGCUUUUUGUCUAUUUGUCAUUGUGUGUGGGGAUGCUCAGCAUGUGCUUUUUGUCAAUUCAUGGUGGGGACAGACCAUUGUUAAUUGUUGGUCUCGGUCUCAACUAGGAAUGCCUUGUACGGGUCUUUGGUUCAACAAACCCCCCGGAAUACGUCCCUGCCCUUUGUUCACACCGCCCGUCGCCCUUUCCGAUGGAGUUUUCUUUGUGUUUGAGGGACUGGGUACCUUAGUUUUUUUUAUUUUUUUUUUAAUUUGAAAAAAGCUAUAAUCACUUAUGGAAACUUAAACGAACAGUGUGGUCUAAAGGAAAGAGAAGUCG
rnacentral:rRNA from 1 species